UGACUGUGCUAAGGUAGCAUAAUAAUUUGUAAUUUAAUUGAUUACUAGAAUGAAUGGUUUGACGAAAAAUAACCUUUCUUAUAUAAAAUUUAAAUUUAUCUAUUAGUAAAAAAGCUAAUAUUUAUUAAAAUGACGAUAAGACCCUAAAACCUUAAAAUAAUCUUUUUACUGGGGUGGUAAAUUAUUCAGCAUAAUUUUUUUGAACAUAAUAAAUGAAUUUGACUUUCUAUCAUUAAAUCCAAAAAGGUACUUUAGGGAUAACAGUAUAAUUCUUAUGGAGAGUAUCUUAUCGAUAUAAGAGAUUAUAACCUCGAUGUUGAAUUGAUAUAACAUUACUAAGCAGCUAUAAUAAAUGUAAGUCUGUUCGACUUUUUAAAUAUCACGUGAUCUGAGUUCAGACCGGAGCACAGUCA
rnacentral:rRNA from 1 species